rnacentral:lncRNA from 1 species
AUUCGAGUCGUUUGCCAAGACGGAGGAAGUGCGCGAACAAGUUCUCGGUUGUGAGACAAGAACGGGGGAAAAUUACAAAUACAAAUAUUUACGUGCAAUAAUGUAGAGACCGUGAUGAUACAAUGAGUUUGGGGACAUUGUAAGCUACCGCUGGCCGUUACGUUUAACCUACUGUUUUCAAAUAUGUCCAAGCAUGACAGAUAUACGCCUAUAUUACCGUUGACCGCUGCUUUAGAAUCCAUAAGUCCUACUACGCGCAUGUACAUACAUUGUAUAGGCCCUCUACUGAUUCAA